UCCCUGCUGGCUCAGGUGGUAGAGAAUCUGCCUGUAAUGCAGUGAGACCUGGGUUUGAUCCCUGGGUUGGGAA
rnacentral:tRNA from 1 species